rnacentral:rRNA from 1 species
GGGCCCGCACAAGCGGAGGAACAUGUGGUUUAAUUCGAUGAUACGCGAGGAACCUUACCUGGGUUUAAAUGUAGAUUGCAUAGGGUGGAAACAUCCUUUUCCUUCGGGACUAUUUACAAGGUGCUGCAUGGUUGUCGUCAGCUCGUGCCGUGAGGUGUCGGGUUAAGUCCCAUAACGAGCGCAACCCCUAUCUUUAGUUGCCAUCAGGUCAAGCUGGGGACUCUAGAGAGACUGCCGCCGUAAGGUGAGAGGAAGGGGGGGAUGACGUCAAAUCAGCACGGCCCUUACAUCCAGGGCUACACACGUGUUACAAUGGCCGGUACAGAGGGCCGCCACAUAGUGAUAUGGAGCAAAUCUCAAAACCGGUCGUAGUUCGGAUUGGAGUCUGUAACCCGACUCCAUGAAGUUGGAUUCGCUAGUAAUCGCGCAUCAGCCAUGGCGCGGUGAAUACG